GAUUGAGAGGUUAUGGAGAGAUGUAUUUGGGGUAGUGUUGGAUCUGUUUUAUACAACUUUCUUCUACCUGGAGACCUAGGGCCUCCUGCAAACAGACAACGAGGUGCACUUAUACGCAUUACACUGGACCUUUCUACCUCAAAUCAACAGACAUCUUCAAUUUUUCAUGGACAGCUGGAACAACCACGGACUACGCACAGAACAGAACCAGUCACCACUACUGUUGUGGUCUCAAAACCAACAUGAAGGUCACGAGCCCACACAAGUUGACAACCAGUAUGGUAUUGAUGGGGAGAGCCAAUAUGGUUGCCAUCAUGAUGGCGUGACUGUGCCAGAGAGCUUCCAAGGCCUUUGACUCGGGUGGAAAUUGAAACACUACCAGAUCCAACGUCCUUGUUUUCUAAUGUGAUAAAUGUUUAUUGUCAGACAGUUGAUAUUCUAACUGGAAUUUUUGGAGAUAUGUAAAUUGAAGAUACAAAA